rnacentral:rRNA from 1 species
GGUUGGGCUGUUCGCCCAUGAAAGCGGUACUCGAGCUGGGUUCAGAACGUCGUGAGACAGUUCGGUCCCUAUCCGCUGCGCGCGGAGGAAUCUUGAGAAGGGCUGUCUUUAGUACGAGAGGACCGAGACGGACUGACCUCUGGUGUGCCAGUUGUUCUGCCAAGAGCAUGGCUGGUUGGCUACGUCGGGUUGUGAUAACCGCUGAAAGCAUCUAAGCGGGAAGCACGCUUCAAGAUAAGGGUUCCCACAGGAGUGUUCCUGGUAAGGUCCCCGAGAGAUGAUCGGGUUGAUAGGCCAGACGUGGACGCAUCGUAAGGUGUGGAGCUGACUGGUACUAAUAGACCGA